UACGGAGGGUGCAAGCGUUAUUCGGAAUUACUGGGCGUAAAGCGUGCGCAGGCGGUUCGCUAAGACCGAUGUGAAAUCCCCGGGCUUAACCUGGGAACUGCAUUGGUGACUGGCGGGCUAGAGUAUGGCAGAGGGGGGUAGAAUUCCACGUGUAGCAGUGAAAUGCGUAGAGAUGUGGAGGAAUACCGAUGGCGAAGGCAGCCCCCUGGGCCAAUACUGACGCUCAUGCACGAAAGCGUGGGGAGCAAACAGG
rnacentral:rRNA from 1 species